AGGAGACAGACCCAUUCUCCUGGUUGGAGUACUAUGUAUGCGCAACAGAGCUAUUGGCAAAAGAACAUUCCACUUAAGCUGGGUCUCUUGACACAUUUUUGCCAACUGGGUUUUUAUAGUUCUGUUCAUCCUUUCCACCUUCCCAGAACUCUGAGGUCUAUAUGCUGUAUGAAGUUUCCACUUAAUACCAAGCAUAUGAGUCAGUUGUUGUAGGCACUGAUGAAUAAAGGCUGGGCCAUUAUCUGAUCCUAUAGAGCACGGGAGUCCAUAUCUGGGUACGACCUCACGC